ACCCUCUCAGAGUCGCAUCUGGAGGGUUUCCAGUACUGUACCAGUCUUGGCUACAAGAAGGAGAGGCAAGCAGAGGUAUACACAUUCCAUUCCUAGCUUGGGCAGUGGCUAGCGAGUGGAAGGCAAUCGGCUACAAGU